GUGCGCAUAGCAGGAAGUGAGGAGGGAGGGGUGGCAGCGCCCUUUUUUUUGUAUUUUUUGUUGAUGAACAUAGUAAUAGUCUUUUCUCAAAUGUCAUGCUCACAUUUAGCUAAUCAAUUAGUAAAUGUCAUUUGGAUCAUAACAAUUAAUUUGUAAUAAUCAAUAAUGGUAACAGAUGGGUUUGUCAUCUCAAAGAUAUCGACAUUAUUGAAACCAAAAUAUAAAUUCUUUCCCGUUCCUGCAAAUUGGCAAGAUUCAUCUGCAUUAAUGCUUAACAAAAAGAACCCCUCCCAUUCUCCGCGUCAUGAGCAAAAUGUCCAUCACGACCCUCCAAUUCAUUUCACCCACCCA
rnacentral:lncRNA from 1 species